CGAAACCCUAGGAAGUUAUCUACACCUAAUCAAUCACUUGCUUUUUAUUGUUGUUGGAGAAAAAAGCGUCAUCUAGUUCGUUCCAGAAUUCUCCAAUUUCUCCACCAUCUCUCUCAUCACUCAACCUCUGCUUUCUAUAUUCUCCAUUCUCCUCUACAGUAAUGAGUCUUUCGCCUUCAUGAAAGCUUGACGAAUCUUGUUUAUCACGUCAUGGACUCUUACAACAGCCUUUUUGCUGCUUCACUGUUCUUCGGCUUGGAAGUUCUAUGUUCACGGAAUAUUCUCUCUAAUUUGAGAACUAGAGAUGGAGGACUGUAUGUUCAGAAUUGCAUAUUUCAGUAACAACAGGUAUGUAAUGUUCAAUAUCGUCCAAUUUCCUGUUAUCUUCUGAAGGUAGUAGAAUUCUGAAACCUUAGUGGCAAACUAUCUGUUUUGGUUACCAAUAUACCUAAUCAGUACAUGAGCAUGAAUACUUAUUUUAGGCCAUUGAAUUACCUUAAAAAAUUACUAUUAACAAUUUGUAUCGAGUUUCAAGGUGUAGAGAGCAUUUAAAAUGCAAAUUCUUGAUCUUGUUGAUAUGUUUUACUGAAAAAUGUGUGCAAUCUUUGUUUUUGGUGGUUUUA